GGCAAGUCUGGUGCCAGCAGCCGGGAAAAUCCAGCUCCAAUAGCGUAUAUUAAAGUUGUUGCAGUUAAAAAGCUCGUAGUUGAACUUCGGGAUCAAUGGAUUGGUCAUGCCGUUGGUAUGUACUGGUCAUAUUGGUUCUCACCUUCUAAGGAACCAUAAUGUCAUUCAUUUGAUGUUUUGGGGAAUUAGGACUGUUACCUUGAAAAAAUUAGAGUGUUUAAAGCAGGC
rnacentral:rRNA from 1 species